GGUUCCCUGGGUUGUUUGCCAGUCUAUAUGUCCUCGACCCUUUAUGCGAAAACCAGGAGGUCUUUUAUCGUGGUCUGUGUGCAAGUCCGCUUCGGCGGGACGCCUGAAACCCGUUAGAGACCACCGCCUUGAACCGCUGGGUUCAAGGGCCUAUCAGACAGCGUCAACUUGGGGAACUU
rnacentral:other from 3 species